GAUGAACGCUGACAGAAUGCUUAACACAUGCAAGUCUACUUGAUCCUUCGGGUGAAGGUGGCGGACGGGUGAGUAACGCGUAAAGAACUUGCCUUACAGACUGGGACAACAUUUGGAAACGAAUGCUAAUACCGGAUAUUAUGAUUGGGUCGCAUGAUCUGGUUAUGAAAGCUAUAUGCGCUGUGAGAGAGCUUUGCGUCCCAUUAGUUAGUUGGUGAGGUAACGGCUCACCAAGACGAUGAUGGGUAGCCGACCUGAGAGGGUGAUCGGCCACACUGGGACUGAGACACGGCCCAG
rnacentral:rRNA from 1 species